rnacentral:rRNA from 1 species
UACAGAGACCUCAAGCGUUAUCCGGAAUUAUUGGGCGUAAAGGGUGCGAAGGUGGAUAUGUUAGUCUCUUGUUAAAACUUCGGGCUUAACCCGAAAUCUGCGAGGGAAACGGCAUAUCUAGAGUAUGCGAGAGGUGCACGGAACUCAUGGUGUAGGGGUGAAAUCCGUUGAUAUCAUGGGGAACACCAAAGGCGAAGGCAGUGCACUGGCGCGUUACUGACACUUUAGUACGAAAGCGUGGGGAGCGAACGGG